rnacentral:rRNA from 1 species
GUGCUAGUUUACUAGAACUAUCAUACAGGUGCUGCACGGCUGUCGUCAGCUCGUGUCGUGAGAUGUUGGGUUAAGUCCCGCAACGAGCGCAACCCUCGUGUUUAGUUACUAACAGUUCGGCUGAGGACUCUAGACAGACUGCCUGGGUAACCAGGAGGAAGGUGAGGACGACGUCAAGUCAUCAUGGCCCUUACGGCCAGGGCUACACACGUGCUACAAUGGGGUAUACAAAGAGCCGCGAUACCGUGAGGUGGAGCAAAUCUCAUAAAAUAUCUCCCAGUUCGGAUAGUAGUCUGCAACUCGACUACUUGAAGUUGGAAUCGCUAGUAAUCGUAGAUCAGCAAUGCUACGGUGAAUACGUUCCCGGGUCUUGUACUCACCGCCCGUCACA